AUUGAACGCUGGCGGAAUGCUUUACACAUGCAAGUCGAGCGGCAGCGCGGGGCAACCUGGCGGCGAGCGGCGAACGGGUGAGUAAUACAUCGGAACGUACCCAGUCGUGGGGGAUAACACAGCGAAAGUUGUGCUAAUACCGCAUACGACCUGAGGGUGUAAGUGGGGGACCGCAAGGCCUCACGCGAUUGGAGCGGCCGAUGGCGGAUUAGCUAGUUGGUGGGGUAAAGGCUCACCAAGGCGACGAUCCGUAGCGGGUCUGAGAGGACGGCCCGCCACACUGGGACUGGGAAACGGUCCAGACUCCUUCGGGAGGCAGCAGUGGGGAAUUUUGGACAAUGGGGGAAACCCUGAUCCAGCCAUUCCGCGUGAGUGAAGAAGGCCUUCGGGUUGUAAAGCUCUUUCGGCAGGAACGAAACGGUCGUCGCUAACAUCGAUGGCUAAUGACGGUACCUGAAGAAGAAGCACCGGCUAACUACGUGCCAGCCGCCGCCGUAA
rnacentral:rRNA from 1 species